AUUCCAUGGUAAGGGCAUUUUCUUAAUAGCUAUUUGAACCUCUCUUAUGCAUCAGUAACAACUUCAUUCUCCAAUUGUUUAAAAAGACAAAUUUCAUUCUUGACU